rnacentral:rRNA from 1 species
UGGGGAAUAUUGCACAAUGGAGGGAACUCUGAUGCAGCGACGCCGCGUGAACGAAGAAGGCUUUCGAGUCGUAAAGUUCUUUUAUAUGGGAAGAUAAUGACGGUACCAUAAGAAAAAGCCCCGGCUAACUACGUGCCAGCAGCCGCGGUAAUACGUAGGGGGCUAGCGUUGUCCGGAAUCACUGGGCGUAAAGGGUUCGCAGGCGGAAAUGCAAGUCAGGUGUAAAAGGCAGUAGCUUAACUACUGUAAGCAUUUGAAACUGGAUAUCUUGAGAAGAGUAGAGGUAAGUGGAAUUUUUAGUGUAGCGGUGAAAUGCGUAGAUAUUAAAAAGAAUACCGGUGGCGAAGGCGGCUUACUGGGCUCAUUCUGACGCUGAGGAACGAAAGCGUGGGGAGCAAACAGG